GAUGAACGCUGGCGGCGUGCCUAAUACAUGCAAGUCGAGCGAAAAGACGAGGCGCUUGCUCCUCUCAAGUUAGCGACGGACGGGUGAGUAACACGUGGAUAACCUACCUAUUAGACUUGGAUAACGGCAGGAAACCGGAGUUAAUGCCAGGUACUAUAUUUAACCGCAUGGUUCAAUAGUGAUAGACGGUUUUGCUGUCCCUUAUAGCUGUAUCCGCGCUGGAUUAGCUAGUUCGUAAGGUAACGGCUUCCCAUGGCCACGAUGCGUAGCCGACCUGCGAAGGUGAACGGCCACACUGGAGCUGAGACGCGGUACAGACUCCUACGGGAGGCAGCAGUAGGGACGCGUGCGAGAUGGGCGAAAGAUUGACCGAGCAGCGCAGCGUGGGUGAUGAAGGGCUUCGGAGCGUAAGACGCUGUUAGUAUGGAAGAACAAUUGUGCAAGUAACGAUGCACGUCGUGACGGUACCUAGAUAGAAAGCCACGGCUAACUACGUG
rnacentral:rRNA from 1 species